rnacentral:rRNA from 1 species
GACAGAGGGUGCAAACGUUGUUCGGAAUUACUGGGCGUAAAGCGUGUGUAGGCGGCCUUGCAAGUCGGAUGUGAAAGCCCCGGGCUCAACCCGGGAAGUGCACCCGAAACUGCAAGGCUCGAGUACCGGAGAGGUUGGUGGAAUUCUCGGUGUAGCGGUGAAAUGCGUAGAUAUCGGGAGGAACACCUGUGGCGAAAGCGGCGCACUGGACCAUAACUGACGCUGAGGCGCGAAAGCUAGGGGAGCAAACAGG